rnacentral:misc_RNA from 1 species
CAGGACCUCGUCCUGCUCAUGCACUGUAUAGAGAGACACGAUAAAUUCCACGCAGCCCUAGGUUCGGCAGAUGUCAAAAUGGUUUGUGAGAUAUUAGCCCAGGAGGAAAAGGAAGAGGCGAAUUUAAAGAAACAACUUGAGAAAAAACUCAUAGUAAACAAGUUGACUGGAACGGUGAAAACGGGCGUUGGUAACCCUGGGGAGAUGGUGAUUUCCACUGCCAAAAAAGAACACGCUGACGUCAUCAUCUGCGGCUGCCGUGGAUUGGGGAAACUCCGGCGGACAUUUACAGGGACUGUUAGCGAUUACAUCGUCCACCAUUCUCACGUGCCUGUUGUCGUGUGUCGUCAUCCUAGUCACAAAGACGAAAUACAACACCAGAAGUGACGUCAUUGCAGCCCCGGACAAAAUAGGAAACUGCGAGAACUCGGGAAUCAGUGGAUGGAAACCAAAGAAUUGCGAAGUCUGAAUAUGAGAGGAUUGCUUAAAGUUUCGUGUUUGCUAUAAAGAGGUUGAUGCAGUCAAUGCAUCUCGAAUCUAUAUAGCGUUUGCAACAAGUAUAACGUUGCAGUCUUCUAAAUCUGACUAUUUACAUAGGGAUAUAUAUUCCAUUUUAUUUUUAUGCUUGAAUUUUAGCAAAAUUGAAUACAUGUUUUUGAUGUUUACAUCAGUGCCAUAUUUAUUGUUGUUCAAUGUCACGGAAUAAACAAGAUGAAAAAAUCU